CGGGUGAGUAAUGUCUGGGAGACUGCCCGAUGGCGGGGGAUAACUACUGGAAACGGUAGCUAAUACCGCAUAAUGUCUACGGACCAAAGCGGGGGACCUUCGGGCCUCUUGCCAUCGGAUGUGCCCAGAUGGGAUUAGCUAGUAGGUGGGGUAAUGGCUCACCUAGGCGACGAUCCCUAGCUGGUCUGAGAGGAUGACCAGCCACACUGGAACUGAGACACGGUCCAG
rnacentral:rRNA from 1 species